rnacentral:rRNA from 1 species
UACGUAGGGGGCAAGCGUUGUCCGGAUUUAUUGGGCGUAAAGCGCGUGUAGGCGGCCACGCAGGUCCGCUGUGAAAACUCGAGGCUCAACCUCGAGCUGUCGGUGGAAACCGCGUGGCUAGAGUCCGGAAGAGGGGACUGGAAGUUCCCGGUGUAGCGGUGGAAUGCGCAGAUAUCGGGAGGAACACCCGUGGCGAAGGCGGGUCCCUGGGACGGUACUGACGCUGAGACGCGAAAGCGUGGGGAGCGAACGAG